GCAGUCGUGGCCGAGUGGUUAAGGAGAUGGACUAGAAAUUCAUUGGGGUCUCCCCGCACAGGUUCAAAUCCUGUCGACUGCG
rnacentral:tRNA from 1 species